rnacentral:lncRNA from 1 species
CAUGACUACUAUGCUUAAUUUGUUAUCCAUGAAAAUAUUGUCGGAUCGUUUGCGCUAACCAUUAAUCCCAAAAGCUCGAUCUGUUAGAAAUAUACAACUAAUUCAUUUAAAACGUACAGAUACAACACUCGGCGGAUCUCGAUUGUGAUUCGACCCAACCAGCCUCACGCCACUCGAACAUGACUCGACCUACCCAACCUCACGCCACUUCGAACAUGACUCGGCCCAACAUGGCCUUCCGCUAUCGGGCAGGAUGCUGGCCCAUUUAAACCAACAAAUAUGACCAUUUUAAA